UACGGAGGGUGCGAGCGUUGUCCGGAAUUACUGGGCGUAAAGGGCGCGUAGGCGGCGUCGGUCGUCCGUGGUGAAAGCUCGUGGCUCAACUGCGAGUCGGCCAUGGAUACUCCGAUGCUUGAGCACUGUAGAGGCAGGUGGAAUUCCGGGUGUAGCGGUGGAAUGCGUAGAGAUCCGGAAGAACACCGGUGGCGAAGGCGGCCUGCUGGGCAGGAGCCGACGCUGAGGCGCGACAGCGUGGGGAGCAAACAGG
rnacentral:rRNA from 1 species